UGUUUGUGGUAUAACCUUUGGAAGAUUAGAGCAUUAAGACUUGUAUAUCGCGGAUGAUGGUCCCACGGAAUCAAUAACAAUGAAUUGGCCACUACAGAGCACAAGGCGACAAUUUCAUUGUAGGAUACGGAAAAUCGGAAAAUCGCAAACCAGGCUGGCCCAAAGAUGUGUGGGCUUUAUAUUUUACUGAUAGAGAUUUGGGCGUAAACUCGGACAAUUAAGGAUCGUUUCUUAAGUCAUCAGAGGAACAUGUAACAAUUGAUUUCUUUUCGAGCCUACUUGAUUUCUCAUCAAACAUUGUAUAUCGUUUCCACAAUCUUGUUAUAAAGACAAGGAUUAUAAAGAAAAGGUAUUUUGACAGUUUGUCACCUGGAGAAAAUCUGGUAUAAAAAUACUUAUCCAUGCUCAUCUUCCGUGUCCUCAUAAUAGCCUCCACAUGCUUUUGAAAAGCUGUUAUUCUUAUGAGAAGAUUCUCAGAAAUAUCAGACUUGGGUGCCCUGUGAAUCAUUGUCUAUUUAUAAUGCUGCCUUACAGCAAAGUCGCAGCAAAUCCAUGGACUAUUUAUUAUGUUGUGGGAUGAUUUACUGGAGGCAGAAUCAUAUUUGCAAAUCUACAAUCUAGAAGGGACAAGUGACCCAAGAAUAUGGGUGAAAAAUCAGAAGUGGAGUGGACUCCCUUUGGAGGGAAGGAGUUCCCCCUCAAGAAACAGUUUUUGUAAGUAAGAAUUUAUUACUGGUAUUGUAAAGAGAUUUCUUGGUCAGGUCCCAGCUGGUUUCAAUGUCCAGAGAGGUUUCUUUCAAAUAUGAGGUUCCAAUAUAAUAGACAUUUUUCAUUUUUAAAAUUAGGAAAUUUAAUGUCCAGAGAAUUUAAAUGAUAUUUCCCCAAAGAAUUCAGACCAUGUCCCCUCCUCCCAACAUUAGAUAAAAACAUAAUAGCUACUUUUCUGUGUCUACCAAGAAAGACUUUAUAAUCUUGAAAAUCAACAUAUAUUAUUCCUCCCACAUUGCAAUUUUUCAGUCCAAUAUGCAAGGAAAACAAUAAAUCAAAUCAAGUAAACA
rnacentral:lncRNA from 1 species